rnacentral:rRNA from 1 species
CACGUAGGGUGCGAGCGUUGUCCGGAAUUAUUGGGCGUAAAGAGCUCGUAGGCGGUGUGUCGCGUCGGCCGUGAAAACCUGCAGCUUAACUGUGGGCUUGCGGUCGAUACGGGCAUCACUGGAGUUCGGCAGGGGAGACUGGAAUUCCUGGUGUAGCGGUGAAAUGCGCAGAUAUCAGGAGGAACACCGGUGGCGAAGGCGGGUCUCUGGGGCCGAUACU